GCCGCGGGCUCGGCGCCGCUCGGCCAUUUCCGCCACGCGAGCCGAGCCCUAUUUCCGCCGGCCCCGGCCAGACGGGCUUUAUGUCUGCCGGCGGGCCGCGCGUGCGCGGCGGCCGCCGCCAUCUUACGUUGUCUCUCGCCCGCCCUCCCCUUUGGCGAGCUCUCCCCUCCUCCCCCCCGCGGCGCCUCCUCCAGCGCUCCGUGAGGAGACGGGGCAGGCACGGGGAGGGAGAGACCCGCGGCGGCGGGGAAGCCGGGAGUAGACCCUGAGGGAAGAAAGGACGGGGCGGACGCACACGCGGGAGGAGGAGGAGGAGGACGGAUUCCAGGCGCGGUUCUGCGGAGGACGAGCGGGUGCCGCCUGUUAUAAAGGGGGAGGAGGCGGCGGAGGGGGAAGGAAGAGCGUGCGGAGCGGAGCCUCCUCCAGAGACAGCCAGACACAGGGAGGAGAGAGAGGCUGCCUGGCUGGCUCCCCCUUCCUCCCUCCCUCUCUCCUUUUCAUGGACUCUUUUGUCGGGUUGCUGCUGCUGCUUUUCUUCCGUCCUUAUUCCGUCUCUCUAAUACCCAAAAUGAUUCAGCUCCAUGGCUGCCACUGACGGGGAUGUCCCUGCCCGGCUCAGCCUGCCGCUGCCGCCCUGCUGUGCGCCAGUCCUCCUGACUCAGCCGCAGACAUUAGUGCUAGGAAGAUGGCGCACCCGGCGAUGUUUCCUAGAAGGGGCAGCAGCAGUAGCAGCGGCAGCAGCUGCGUUACUGCUCCCACUGCACCAGGUACCGGCGUUGGGAGCGCUGCCCUCUCCGCCGAGGAUUAUCAGCCGCCUUUGCUGGUCCAGCCGCCGCCUCCAUCUCCUGCAGCAGCUUCAACAGCGGGUCCACAGCCGACACCCCCUCAUCCACAAAGCCUGAACCUCCUCUCUCAGUCUCAGCUCCAGCCCCAGCCCCUUGCACAGACUGGAGCUCAAAUGAAAAAGAAAAGUGGCUUUCAAAUUACCAGUGUGACCCCUGCUCAAAUAUCAGCUAGUAUGAGCUCUAAUAACAGCAUAGCCGAGGAUACAGAAAGCUACGAUGACCUGGAUGAGUCUCACACCGAAGACCUGUCAUCUUCAGAAAUCUUGGAUGUGUCUUUAUCCAGAGCCACUGAUAUGGGAGAACCUGAGAGGAGUUCUUCUGAAGAGACUCUAAAUAACUUCCAAGAGGCAGAGACUCCUGGGGCUGUCUCUCCAAACCAGCCUCAUCUUCCUCAGCAGCAUGCUCCUCUGCCUCAUCACCCACAGCAGAGUGUUGUGAUCAAUGGAAGUGUUCAUCCUCACCAUGUUCAUCAUCACCACCAUCUUCACCAUCACCAUCAUGGACACCAUCAUCCAUCGCAUCCCGGCGUGGGUAGCGCCCCAAUUUCUGGAGGACCACCGCCCAGUCCGUCGUUUAGAAAACUAUCAACAACUGGAAGCUCUGACAAUGUUAUAUCAACUGCACCAGUUUCUGCUGCAUCAUCCACUGGUUCCCCGGCAUCUGCCGUGUCUAAUAUCCGCACUACAAGUAGUCCUGGCAAUUUAGGUAUGAGUCCUGCUGCUGGAACUGGUACCUUAAGUAAUAUUGGUGGUGGUAGUUCUAGUGUGGCAAGCAAUGUGCUUGGUACUAUAAAUUUAAGCAACAUCAUGAGUACUGGUAAUGUAAAUGCUUUGUCUGGAGCUAGCAGCAAUGCUAAUGUGAAUAUCUUGAGUGGUGUUGGCAAUGGUACGAGUGCUUCCUCUAGUGUCAUUAACAAUGUUACUAAUCCAACUGCAGGAAUGGCAGUGGGAUCAAGCCAGCAGCAGCCUGCAUCUGGCACGUCAAGGUUUAGGGUUGUAAAAUUAGAUUCUAGUUCUGAACCUUUCAAAAAAGGUAGAUGGACAUGUACUGAAUUCUAUGAUAAAGAAAACACUGUUGCAGUUUCAGAGGGAGUAGCAGUAAACAAAGCAGUAGAGACGAUAAAACAAAACCCGCUUGAAGUGACUUCUGAAAGGGAGAGCACCAGUGGGAGUUCUGUUAGCAGCAAUGUAAGCACACUGAGUCACUAUACAGAAAGUGUGGGAAGUGGAGAAAUGGGAGCACCUACUGUGGUACAGCAGCAAGCAUUUCAAGGUGUGGGUCCGCAGCAGAUGGAUUUUAGCAGUGCUGCUCCUCCAGCAAUUCCAGCAUCUAGUAUACCACAGAGUGUUUCUCAAUCACAGCUUGCACAAGUCCAGCUGCAUUCUCAAGAAGUAAACUAUCCACAGCAGAAGCCAGGGGUCCAACCUCCUGCACAGGCCAGUCUAACCACUGUUACUGGGGUUCAGCCAGCCCCGGUUAAUAUACUAGGUGUAUCCCCGUCUCUGGGCCACCAGCAGCCUGCCCUUCAGAGUAUGGCUCAACAGCAGCUGCCGUAUUCGCAGCCGGCGCAGCCUGUGCAGACUUUGCCAGUGGUGCAGCAGCAGUUGCAGUAUGGACAGCAGCAGCAACAGCAGCCAGUUCCUACGCAGAUGGCCGCGGGUCACGUUAAGCCGGUGAACCAAAACUCUGUCACAGGGGCUAUGCCAGACUACAUUCAACAUCAGCAGAUCCUUCAGACUCCAGCCCCUGCCAUGCAGCCAAGUUCUACAGGAGUAGGAGCUGGGCAACCGGUUCCUGUUGCCCAGGCACAGGGCAUGCAGCCUACAGUGCAAGCACAUCCAGCUGCUGCCCCAGCUCAGCCUGUUGCACAUGCUCCAGCAGCAAUACCAGGUGUAGCUGCCAGUGGUCAAAUGCUAAAUGUUGGGCAGCAAGGAAGUGUAGCUGCUGUGGUGCAACCACCAUCUGCUGCAAACCAAAUUCCACCUCCAGUUAUGCCAUCGACGGCUGCUCCUCCAUCUUCCCAAGUAGUGCAGCCUGUGCAGACAGGAAUAAUGCAGCAAGGAUUACAGGCUGGCGCUACAGGCCUUCCUCAACAAAUGGUCAUUGCUCAGCAAAACACCUUGUUACCUGUACAGCCACAGGCACAAGGAGUGGAAUCUGUAGUCCAAGGGAUGGCUGGCCAGCAGCUGCCUGCAGUAAGCCCUAUACCCUCUGCUAGUACUGUUCCUGCACCAAGUCAAGCUGGUUCAGCUGUGCCUCCUGGCAUACCUUCUGCUUCUGUAGGUUUGGGACAGCCACAGAACAUAGCACAGGCUUCGGCUGUGCAGAAUGGCAGUUUGGCUCAAAGCGUUAGUCAGCCUCCCUUGAUAUCAACAAGUAUAGGUAUGCCAGUGGCACAGAGUGUGCCACAGCAGAUGCCAUUAAGCUCUACCCAGUUCCCUGCACAAUCACUAGCUCAGUCCAUUGUAAGCCAAAUCGAGGACGGCAGGCGCCCUACAGAACCUUCCUUGGCGGGUUUACCUCAAGCUGCCGGCGUCGAGAGCGGUGGUGGAGCAUCGGCCGCUUCAGAUGGCGGGAGCAGCAACAUGCCGUCCUCUGCGUCCCUCUUCCCGCUGAAGGUGCUGCCCUUGACAACGCCUCUUGUAGAUGGUGAGGAUGAGAGAUACAGAAUGACAGUCAAACACUACACACUGGUAUGCCUGUGAAGAGGCACUGCCAAAGUUAAUUGUGUCUAGUGCAAAAGCUUGGAGUUCUGGCUGAUCAAAGCAGCUUCCAAGUUCUACAGAUAGCCAGUCUAGAAGACACUGACCAGAGAAGUGUAGGAAUUGGGUGAAGAUUGAAAACUUAGUAAGAGAAAUAGUGCUUUAAAAAAAUUGCAUGGUAUCCUGUAGAAUUUACUCAUAAUUGUUUGAACUUUCAAUUUCUUGGCUAUUGAGCUUCUGGUCACUGAUGCAGAAAAAUGGAGACCACUCCUCAGUGACUCAUGAAUUGGCUGUGGAAUGUGCCCUAUAGAGAAGGAAGAAAGCAAUAAAAGGAGUUUUCCUGCAGGUGUAUUUAUCAACAGUCAGGGCACUAUGGAAACACAUUGCAGAGAUUCUCUUUGCCCAAAGAAGAUGAGGGUAUUGAUGAUAGGAUUCCUUACCAUCUUCCAUAUACUCACAAACAGAACUGCUGGUGCUUUCCUGGCUUCAUCUGUAUCUGUAGAUCACCAGAGUGUUUUUCUUGUGUCAUCAUGGCCAUAAUUUCUUUCUGCUGCAGCCCAAAGGAUCCCAUCAGAGCCCACCCUUGAGCUGCCCACAAAAGUAAAGAACCAGUGUGAGAGUUUGAAGAAAGAAUCUGCUCAGAGGACUGAGUCUCAAGCAAAAGCUCCAGGUUGCAGACUCAGAAAGAAACUUCCUUUGGGGAAGGAUCUGCUUCCAGGAUUUGCUCGUCUCUUUUUCCUUGGGCAAACAGUUCUUGAAGCAAACAACAGGGUUGCAGGACACCUUCUAACCUUUACACUGCAUCACAAGCCUUCAGCAGAAGAUCUUAUGUUGCUGGAAGAUGACUGGGUUUGGAUCUUGGCCUUCCCUAAGCAGGAUCUCCUGGCAAAAAAAUGGGAUUGGGAAAGAAAUGGCUCCUUUUUCCAUCACACAGAACCACCCUAGAAAUGGAGGCCUAGGCAGAAAAUUACUUGUAAUAUAUUGUUCUUUAGCAAAAGUGUUUGGCCUCCCAUGGUCCUUUUGUUACAAUGUCAUAUAGAUAUCCUUUAUAAAAUCUAAACCUGGCAUCUUCCUAUCUGAAGAUCAAGUCAAUAAAUCCAAGAUUAAGAGUUUACAGGUCUAAUAACACAGUUGGGUCUUGCUGUCCCUUGCAUAGGAGAUGCCAUGUGAAUCUGUGAAACAGGGUUCUGCUGUGGUUCUGACUGUUAUAUUUGUAAAGCCUUUUCCACUUAUAUUAAAAUUAUUAGAAACAAUAUUAAUAAAGGUUCUUGUGAAAAUGGUAUUUAGACUUCUACCUUGCCGGGUUUACUUAAAAAUAAAUUUGAGCCAAAAUGUCACAGUGGAUAAUAUGGGAAGUAGUGUACCUUUUGAGGUUUCCUGUGGCUUUGUGUCACAAUAAAGUGUGUUGGAACUGUUGAGAGCUAUAAAAGUGGAAGUCUUAGAUUUUUCUUUAAGGGUGAGAAGUUGUUUGUUAGAAAGCAGAAAACUUUUAAUCGUUCCCCCUAAGGGAUUCUGUAGUCAAACUUAAUUGAAUGUCUAGCAAGAUCUCAAAUAAAAACCUUCUGUUUGGCAGUAGCGAACAGCACACACAUGCCUGUUGCAUUUGUGUUGUUCUAACUAUAGGAAGUUAGUUUUGAAGAAUGGGACUUAGUUCUAAUGUUCAGAUUAGGAAAGGGAAAAGUUUUGUUCUGAAGCCGAGUGUGAGAAUAGGAGGCAGGAGGGUGUACCAGACUCUCUGGCAGUAGGUGAAGAGCACUUUGGUUUUUCUGUUUUCUACUUCUGGCAGUUGAAGUAAACUAGCCAGAUGCUUAUACUUGAAUCCAAUUAAUUUCUUAACUAAGUUGCCACAAAACAUUGUUUUUUAACUGGUGCCUAGAUCUUUUGUUAAAUUCACCAGCUUAUUUAAAUUGCUCAAUAGUCUUAACAUAGCCCUGAGGCUACUGCUUCAUGGCAGUUGUCACUUCUUACUAUUCUGGAAUGCACUGCAGUCCUAGUACGUUCUAAAAAUAAUUGUUCAGAUGGUGCCAUUUAAGUACAUACUUAUGUAGUGAGCCAUUUUCACUGGACUGUCUGAAAUUGGCUUUCUGUUGGAUGGCUUUUUAAUAUCUGAUUUUGCUGUGAUUAUCAAACUUGUUUGUCUUGAUGCUUCUGUGGUUAUUGAGUAAAGUGCUGAACUUAUAACCUGGUAUUUUUAGAGAACUGAUAGUCACGUGCCUGUGUUAAACUAUGCAAGCACAGUAACAUUUGUCAAUUUGGAAGUUUAAAAAUAAAUCAGUUUGAUUUAUCAAA